AUUGAACGCUGGCGGCAGGCCUAAUACAUGCAAGUCGAACGAGUGGCGGACGGGUGAGUAAUGUCUGGAAACCUGCUUGAUGGAGGGGGAUAAGUACUGGAACCGGUAGCUAAUACCGCAUAACUACGUCUGUGCCCAGAUGGGAUUAGCUAGUAGGUGGGGUAAAGGCUCACCUAGGCGAAGAUCCCUAGCUGGUCUGAGAGGAUGACCAGCCACACUGGAACUGAGACACGGUCCAGACUCCUACGGGAGGCAGCAGUGGGGAAUAUUGCACAAUGGGCGCAAGCCUGAUGCAGCCAUGCCGCGUGUGUGAAGAAGGCCUUCGGGUUGUAAAGUACUUUCAGCGGGGAGGCGUUACCCGCAGAAGAAGCACCGGCUAACUCCGUGCCAGCCGCCGCGGUAAUUC
rnacentral:rRNA from 1 species